rnacentral:rRNA from 1 species
UACGGAGGGGGCAAGCGUUGUUCGGAGUUACUGGGCGUAAAGCGCGCGUAGGCGGUGCGGUAAGUCAGGGGUUAAAGGCUGCAGCUCAACUGCAGUAAGGCCUCAGAUACUAUCGUGCUAGAGUGCCGGAGAGGGUAGCGGAAUUCCCUGUGUAGCGGUGAAAUGCGUAGAUAUAGGGAGGAACACCGGUUGCGAAGGCGGCUACCUGGCCGGUAACUGACGCUGAGGUGCGAGAGCGUGGGGAGCAAACAGG